rnacentral:rRNA from 1 species
CCUCCCGAGUGCUUGCACUCAAUUGGAAAGAGGAGUGGCGGACGGGUGAGUAACACGUGGGUAACCUACCCAUCAGAGGGGGAUAACACUUGGAAACAGGUGCUAAUACCGCAUAACAGUUUAUGCCGCAUGGCAUAAGAGUGAAAGGCGCUUUCGGGUGUCGCUGAUGGAUGGACCCGCGGUGCAUUAGCUAGUUGGUGAGGUAACGGCUCACCAAGGCCACGAUGCAUAGCCGACCUGAGAGGGUGAUCGGCCACACUGGGACUGAGACACGGCCCAGACUCCUACGGGAGGCAGCAGUAGGGAAUCUUCGGCAAUGGACGAAAGUCUGACCGAGCAACGCCGCGUGAGUGAAGAAGGUUUUCGGAUCGUAAAACUCUGUUGUUAGAGAAGAACAAGGACGUUAGUAACUGAACGUCCCCUGACGGUAUCUAACCAGAAAGCCACGGCUAACUACGUGCCAGCAGCCGCGGUAAUACGUAGGUGGCAAGCGUUGUCCGGAUUUAUUGGGCGUAAAGCGAGCGCAGGCGGUUUCUUAAGUCUGAUGUGAAAGCCCCCGGCUCAACCGGGGAGGGUCAUUGGAAACUGGGAGACUUGAGUGCAGAAGAGGAGAGUGGAAUUCCAUGGUUUAACCG